UCUCUCUCUCUCUCUAGAGUAAGGCGGACCUCAGAAUAAUAAAGGACCAAGAAAGAGAGAUACGGAUGUGAAAGGCUGGCACGGAAUGCGUGGGGGAGGGGGGAAUUAACACCAGAGAGUCGUGACCCAGGAGGAGUCACGGCGCUCGCAAAGGGAGGUUCCACCGAAACAAAUCCGAAUCACCUUCCUUCUCCCUGUUGGAUUCUUCUUCGUCUUUUUUUUUUUUUGCUUCUUUCCUUUUGUUUUUUGCACUUUCCUUUUUUUUUUGAUUGCUUUCGAUCUUUUUUUUUUUUGACAGGGGAGGGGCGAUCGGAGUAGUGGGAUGGCGCGGCGCGGUUGUCGCGGGGGGAGGUGCGGUGGGCGCGGCUGGUAGGGCAAGCAGCGGAACGGCGGCGGCGGCGAAAACUAGGGUUAGAUGAAAAAUGAGAAACAAAAGAUUAAACACAAGUAACCAGCAACAAUUGAACGAGUAGGCACACAAAUUCAACAAAGACACUUAUUGAAAGAAUGUGCGAGGCUAAACGGUUGCUGGGACAAAGGAUCUAACCUGAAAAAAUUUGUUUUGGUUUUUGUGGACUGUAGGAAGGGAAAAACACUCGGUAAAACUCACCGAUCAACCUGGAAAGCUGAUACCACUUGAUAGAGUCGGAGUGCCCGAUCUUUCGGUGAGUGGAGAUAAAUUCGAUUUGGUGGAAGUAGACCCUCACGAUCCGACUACGACGAGCGAACCCGAAGCGCCAAUGCAAUCGCUGAACCAACUCCCGAUGGUUACCAACCUCGCCGGUGCGAGAUCAGCCUGAUCACGAAGAUCAAUUCCUGUCUGCAAUCGAAGAACGAACAAGAAAAAGAGGCGAGCAAUCUAAAUAUCACUCGAAG
rnacentral:lncRNA from 1 species